GACGAACGCUGGCGGCGUGCUUAACACAUGCAAGUCGAACGGACAGGCCCUGAUUUUGUGGCGUUCUCGAGUGGCGAACGGGUGUGUAACACGUGAGUAACCUGCCCUUGUCUUUGGGAUAACUUCAGGAAACUGGGGCUAAUACCCGAUAGGAGCUCCUGCUGCAUGGUGUGGGUUGGAAAGUUUCGGCGGUUGUGGAUUGAAUCGCGGCUUAUCAGCUUGUUUGUGGGGUAGUGGCUUACCCAGGCUUUGACGGGUAGCAGGCCUGAGAGGGUGACCGGCCACAUUGGGACCGAGAGACGGCCCAGGCUGCUACGGGAGGCAGCAGGGGGGAAUCCUGCCCAAGGGGCGGAAGCCUGAUGCAGCAACGCCGCGGGCGGGAUAACGGCCUUCUGGUUGUAAACCGCUUUCGCAUGUGACGAAGCGUGAGUGACGGUUAUGGGUAAAGAAGGACCGGCUAACUACGUG
rnacentral:rRNA from 1 species